AGUGAACGCUGGCGGCAUGCCUAACACAUGCAAGUCGAACGGCAGCACAGUGGAGCUUGCUCCAUGGGUGGCGAGUGGCGGACGGGUGAGGAAUGCAUCGGAAUCUACCCUCUUGUGGGGGAUAACCAAGCGAAAGUUUGGCUAAUACCGCAUAAGACGGCGACGUGAAAGCGGGGGACCUUCGGGCCUCGCGCGAGAGGAUGAGCCGAUGCCCGAUUAGCUAGUUGGCGGGGUAAGAGCCCACCAAGGCGACGAUCGGUAGCUGGUCUGAGAGGACGAUCAGCCACACUGGGACUGAGACACGGCCCAGACUCCUACGGGAGGCAGCAGUGGGGAAUAUUGGACAAUGGGCGCAAGCCUGAUCCAGCAAUGCCGCGUGGGUGAAGAAGGCCUUCGGGUUGUAAAGCCCUUUUGUACGGGAAGAAAAGCUCCGGGCUAAUACCUUGGGGUCAUGACGGUACCGUAAGAAUAAGCACCGGCUAACUUCGUGCCAGCCGCCGCAGUAACAC
rnacentral:rRNA from 1 species